rnacentral:rRNA from 1 species
GAUGAACGCUGGCGGCGUGCCUAAUACAUGCAAGUCGAGCGAACAGACGAGGAGCUUGCUCCUCUGACGUUAGCGGCGGACGGGUGAGUAACACGUGGAUAACCUACCUAUAAGACUGGGAUAACUUCGGGAAACCGGAGCUAAUACCGGAUAACAUGUUGAACCGCAUGGUUCAACAGUGAAAGACGGUCUUGCUGUCACUUAUAGAUGGAUCCGCGCCGCAUUAGCUAGUUGGUAAGGUAACGGCUUACCAAGGCAACGAUGCGUAGCCGACCUGAGAGGGUGAUCGGCCACACUGGAACUGAGACACGGUCCAGACUCCUACGGGAGGCAGCAGUAGGGAAUCUUCCGCAAUGGGCGAAAGCCUGACGGAGCAACGCCGCGUGAGUGAUGAAGGUCUUCGGAUCGUAAAACUCUGUUAUUAGGGAAGAACAAAUGUGUAAGUAACUAUGCACGUCUUGACGGUACCUAAUCAGUAAGCCACGGCUAACUACGUG